UGCUGCUCUUGGUGUGCUACAUUUGCCUACAGCUGCCAGGCCGAAAGGGCUGCCUUGUUUGCAAAGAGGCAGAGACACCCCUAAGCAUCUUGCUUAGAGCUCAUUGGGAAGCUAAGAAACAACUGGCUCUGCCCAUUGCUCUGACAGCCUACCGGCAACAUCUCUUACAGAAGCCUGUGAAACGCAUUUUCUAGGCAGGCCUGAUCUGGCUGAAGUAGAACUUCUUCUCUGGCUGUGCUACAUUGGCUUUGAGCUGCCAGGCCGAAAGGGCUGCCUUGUUUGCAAAGGGGAGGAGCGGCCCCAAGCAUCUUGCUUUCAGCUCUUUCUGAAGCUAAGAAAAAACUGGCUCAGCCCAGUGCUCUAACAGCCUAGCGGGAACAUAUCUUACAGAGGCCUGUGAAACGCAGUUUCUUGGCUGGCCUGAUCUGGCUGAAGUAGAACUUCUGCUCUGGGUGUGCUACAUUGGCAUAGAGAUGCCAGGCCCAAAACGCUGCCUCGUUUGCAACGAGGCAGAGAAGCCCUAAAGCAUCUUGCUUCCAGAUCUUUGGGAAGCUAAGAAACAACUGGCUCUGCCCAGUGCUCUUACAACCUACCUGGAACAUCUGUUACCAAGGCCUGUGAAAUGCAAUUUCUUGGAAGGCCUGAUCUGUCUGAAGCAGAACUUCUGCUCUGGGUGUGCUACAUUGGCAUAGAGCUGCCAUGCCCAAAGUGCUGGCUUCCUUGCAAAGCUGUAGAGGGGCCCCAAAGCAUCUUGCUUCCAGCACUUUGGGAAGCUAAGAAACAACUGGCUCUGCCCAGUGCUCUUACAACCUACCUGGAACAUCUGUUACCAAGGCCUGUGAAAUGCAGUUUCUUGGCAGGCCUGAUCUGGCUGAAGCAGACCUUCUUCUCUGGGUGUGCUACAUUGGCUUAGAGCUGCCAGGCCCAAAGGGUUGCCUUGUUUCCAAAGGGGGAGAGAGGCCCCAUACAUCUUGCCUCCAGAUCUUUGGGAAGCUAAGGAACAACUGGCACUGAACAAUGCUACCACAGCCUACCGGGAAUAUCACUUACAAAGGUCUGUGAAACGCAGUUUCUUGGCAGGCCUGAUCUUACUGAAGUAGAAUUUCUGCUCUGGGUGUGCUACAUCUGCCUACAGCUGCCAGACCGAAAGGGCUGCCUUGUUUGCAAAGGGGCAGAGAGGCCCCAAAGCAUCUUGCUUAGAGCUCUUUGGGAAGCUAAGAAACAACUGGAUCUGCCCAGUGCUCGUACAGCCUAUGUGGAACAUCUGUUACCAAGGCCUGUGAAACGCAGUUUCUUGGCAGGCCUGAUCUGGCUGAAGUAGAACUUCUGCUCUGGGUGUGCUACCGUGGCCUAGAGCUCUCAGGCGCAAAGGGCUGCCUUGUUUCCAAAGGGGCAGAGAGUCCCCAAAGCAUCUUGCUUCCAUCUCUUUGGGGAGCGAAGAAACAACUGCCUCUGCCCAGUGCUCUUACAGCCUACCCAGAACAUCUCUUACCAAGGCCUGUGAAAUGCAGUUUCUUGGCCGGCCUUAUCUGGCUGAAGUAGAACUUCUGCUCUGGGUGUGCUAGAUUGGCAUAGAGAUGCCAGGCCCAAAGGGCUGCCUAGUUUGCAAAGGGGCAGAGAGGCCCCAAAGCAUCUUGCUUAGAGCUCUUUGGGAAGCUAAGAAACAACUGGCUCUGCCCAGUGCUCUUACAGCCUACGGGGAACAUCUCUUACCAAGGCCUGUGAAAGGCAGUUUCUUGACAGGCCUUAUCCGGGAGAAGUAGAACUUCUGCUCUGGGUGUGCUACAUUGGCCUAGAGCUGCCAGGCCGAAUGGGCUGCCUUGUUUGCAAAGGGGUAGAGCGGCCCCAAAGCAUCUUGCUUCCAGCUCUUUUGGAAGCUAAGAAACAACUGGCUCUGCCCAGUGCUCUUACAACCUACGUGGAACAUCUGUUACCAAGGCCUGUGAAAUGCAGUUUCUUGGCAGGCUUGAUCUUGCUGAAGUAGACCUUCUCCUCUCGGUGUGCUACAUUGGCAAGAGGUGCCAGGCCCAAAGGGCUGCCUUGUUUCCAAAGGGGGAGAGAGGCCCUAAGACAUCUUGCUUCCAGCUCUUUGGGAAGCUAAGAAACAACUGGCACUGGACAAUGCUACCACAGGCUACCGGGAACAUCACUUACAAAGGCCUGUGAAACGCAGUUUCUUGGCAGGCCAGAUCUUACUGAAGUAAAAUUGCUGCUCUUGGUGUGCUACAUUUGCCUACAGCUGCCAGGCCGAAAGGGCUGCCUUGUUUGCAAAGAGGCAGAGACACCCCUAAGCAUCUUGCUUAGAGCUCAUUGGGAAGCUAAGAAACAACUGGCUCUGCCCAUUGCUCUGACAGCCUACCGGCAACAUCUCUUACAGAAGCCUGUGAAACGCAUUUUCUAGGCAGGCCUGAUCUGGCUGAAGUAGAACUUCUUCUCUGGCUGUGCUACAUUGGCUUUGAGCUGCCAGGCCGAAAGGGCUGCCUUGUUUGCAAAGGGGAGGAGCGGCCCCAAGCAUCUUGCUUUCAGCUCUUUCUGAAGCUAAGAAAAAACUGGCUCAGCCCAGUGCUCUAACAGCCUAGCGGGAACAUAUCUUACAGAGGCC
ensembl:lncRNA